rnacentral:rRNA from 1 species
AUUGAACGCUGGCGGCAGGCUUAACACAUGCAAGUCGAACGAGUGGCGGACUGGUGAGUAAUGUCUGGGAAACUGCCUGCUGGAGGGGGAUAACUACUGGAAACGGUAGCUAAUACCGCAUACCAUCGGAUGUGCCCCGAUGGGAUUAGCUAGUAGGUGGGGUAAAGGCUCACCUAGGCGACGAUCCCUAGCUGGUCUGAGAGGAUGACAAGCCACACUGGAACUGAGACACGGUCCAGACUCCUACGGGAGGCAGCAGUGGGGAAUAUGGGACAAUGGGCGCAAGCGUGAUGCAGCCAUGCCGCGUGUAUGAAGAAGGCCGUCGGGUUGUAAAGUACUUUCAGCGGGGAGGCGUUACCCGCAGAAGAAGCACCGGCUAACUCCGUGCCAGCAGCCGCGGUAAUUC